GGAAGAAGCUUGCUUCUUUGCGUGACGAGUGGCGGACGGGUGAGUAAUGUCUGGGAAACUGCCUGAUGGAGGGGGAUAACUACUGGAAACGGUAGCUAAUACCGCAUAACGUCGCAAGACCAAAGAGGGGGACCUUCGGGCCUCUUGCCAUCGGAUGUGCCCAGAUGGGAUUAACUAGUAGGUGGGGUAACGGCUCACCUAGGCGACGAUCCCUAGCUGGUCUGAGAGGAUGACCAGCCACACUGGAACUGAGACACGGUCCAGACUCCUACGGGAGGCAGCAGUGGGGAAUAUUGCACAAUGGGCGCAAGCCUGAUGCAGCCAUGCCGCGUGUAUGAAGAAGGCCUUCGGGUUGUAAAGUACUUUCAGCGGGGAGGAAGGGAGUAAAGUUAAUACCUUUGCUCAUUGACGUUACCCGCAGAAGAAGCACCGGCUAACUCCGUGCCAGCAGCCGCGGUAAUACGGAGGGUGCAAGCGUUAAUCGGAAUUACUGGGCGUAAAGCGCACGCAGUCGGUUUGUUAAGUCAGAUGUGAAAUCCCCGGGCUCAACCUGGGAACUGCAUCUGAUACUGGCAAGCUUGAGUCUCGUAGAGGGGGGUAGAUUCCAGGUGUAGCGGUGAAAUG
rnacentral:rRNA from 1 species